CCCAUUAGCUAGUUGGUAGGGUAACGGCCUACCAAGGCAACGAUGGGUAGCUGUUCUUAGAGGAAGACCAGCCACACUGGAACUGGAACACGGUCCAGACUCCUACGGGAGGCAGCAGUUAGGAAUUUUGCGCAAUGGCCGAAAGGCUGACGCAGCAACGCCGCGUGGGGGAUGAAGGCCUUCGGGUUGUAAACCCCUUUUAGACGUGAAGAAAAAAAUGACGGUAACGUCAGAAAAAGCACCGGCUAACUCUGUGCCAGCAGCCGCGGUAAUACAGAGGGUGCAAGCGUUAUUCGGAAUCACUGGGCGUAAAGAGUUCGUAGGCGGUUUGUCGCGUCUGCUGUGAAAACCUAAGGCUCAACCUUGGGCUUGCAGUGGGUACGGGCAGACUAGAGUGCGGUAGGGGUGACUGGAAUUCCUGGUGUAGCGGUGGAAUGCGCAGAUAUCAGGAGGAACACCGAUGGCGAAGGCAGGUCACUGGGCCGCAACUGACGCUGAGGAGCGAAAGCAUGGGGAGCGAACAGGAUUAGAUACCCUGGUAGUCCAUGCCGUAAACGUUGGGCACUAGGUGU
rnacentral:rRNA from 1 species